AACGAACGCUGGCGGCAUGCCUAACACAUGCAAGUCGAACGGGAUCCUAGCUUGCUAGGUGAGAGUGGCGGACGGGUGAGUAACACGUGGGAAUCUGCCUUUUGGUUCGGGAUAACCGCGGGAAACUGCGGCUAAUACCGAAUGCCCUCGAGAGAGGAAAGAUUUAUCGCCAGAAGAGGAGCCCGCGUCCGAUUAGGUAGUUGGUGGGUAAAGGCCUACCAAGCCGACGAUCGGUAGCUGGUCUGAGAGGAUGAUCAGCCACACUGGGACUGAGAUACGGCCCAGACUCCUACGGGAGGCAGCAGUGGGGAAUAUUGGACAAUGGGGGCAACCCUGAUCCAGCAAUGCCGCGUGAGUGAUGAAGGCCUUAGGGUUGUAAAGCUCUUUUGGCGGGGACGAUGAUGACGGUACCCGCAGAAUAAGCCCCGGCUAACUUCGUGCCAGCAGCCGCGGUAAU
rnacentral:rRNA from 1 species